rnacentral:snoRNA from 1 species
AGGUCAUUUCAAAGAAGGCUUGUGGGACUGGAACCAGGAGCUUUUAACACUGUGAUCAAAGACUGAGGUUCUCCAUAUGACGACAGACACUUGAUAGUGCUUUGUUUUAUUUCCUGAGGGAGAUACAAGA